AUUGGGCAGAUGAUGAAUCUGAAAUUGUUUUAAUGGGUAAUUUGCGUCUGAAUGUCAUUGAUGUUAAUAACACCUUGGAGAACGGUUGCUGAAA